UAAUCAAUCCCACUGCCAUUCGGACAUGCGCGUGAACACCAGGCUAAUUAACCUAGUAGGAGCACACCACGAAGAGAGGAGCGUCAUGGCGCGUCGCUCCACCUCUUCUUCGGCUCGCUCUCUGCCGCUAAUGGUCGUGGCUCUCAUGCUCAUCUGCUGUUAUGCGCCACUCUCGGACGCCCUCCAGAUCGAAGCUGAUCCAUACGGGAAACACUGGGGAUGGAGGCCUCCGCCGCCGCAGGGCCGGGGGCCGGUUCACUCGUGGUGUUCGGGGUGCGGCCGCGUCUUCGUUCCUCUGGCCGCGCCGCCGCCACCAGCGACGACCACCGCGGCACCGCAAGACCCUGCACAUCGGCAGGGACGCGGCCGUCGUCUCUUAUCCAACGGAAAAUGGUCGCCGUAAGACUCAGUAGUACUGUUUAAUCUACAUGUACUACACGUUUUGGGCAUUAUCCCGUUUAUGCAAUAAAAAUGCAUGGAACAUUCAGAUCAGACGGAUAAAGAUAUUGAACUAUUAUUUGAGAAGUUUAUCUU